CUGCGCACUGCGCUCACACAACUUGAUACAGAGUAACAGUAAAUCAGACCGAGCAGCUCCUACGGCACCAGCAGUGCAAUUGUAACCCUGUUGCAAGUAUUUUUGGCCGCCGACAGCACCGAGUGAGAUCACUGCGGGUCUCUUUCUCUCGGACAGACCUCAGAGUUGUUCGCCGAGAGCAACGCCAGGGACCGCUUCCACUCUCGUUUCUGCUAUAUCUCAAUAUUAUUCCACAAUGGAAAUGUCCGAAAACAAGCCGAAUGAUGAACCGAAGUUAUCUACGACGGACCGGGUUGUGAAAUCCGUCCCCUUCCCGCCCAGUCACCGGCUGACGGCCAAAGAGGUGUUCGACAGCGAUGGGAAGCCCAAAGUGGACGUGCUGAAAGCCCACCUGACCAAGGAAGGCCGCGUGGAGGAGGCGGUGGCCCUGAGGCUCAUCGGAGAGGGCGCCUCAAUCCUGCGUGCAGAGAAGAACCUGCUGGACAUCGAGGCCCCUGUGACCGUGUGUGGAGACAUCCACGGGCAGUUCUUUGACCUGAUGAAGCUGUUUGAAGUGGGAGGAUCACCAGCAUCCACGCGCUACCUUUUCCUGGGGGACUACGUUGACAGAGGGUAUUUCAGUAUUGAAUGUGUGCUGUACUUGUGGGCCUUAAAGAUCCUUUACCCCAAAACACUGUUUUUGCUGCGUGGGAAUCAUGAAUGUAGACAUUUAACAGAGUAUUUCACAUUUAAGCAGGAAUGUAGAAUUAAGUAUUCAGAGAGAGUGUAUGACGCAUGUAUGGACGCCUUCGACUGCCUUCCCCUGGCCGCCCUUAUGAACCAGCAGUUCCUGUGUGUACACGGAGGACUGUCUCCAGAAAUCACAAAUCUUGACGACAUCAGGAAAUUAGACAGAUUCAAAGAGCCCCCGGCAUACGGACCAAUGUGCGAUCUGCUGUGGUCCGACCCCCUGGAGGACUUUGGGAACGAGAAGAGCCAAGAGCAUUUCACACACAACACAGUGCGAGGCUGUUCCUACUUCUACAGCUACCCUGCAGUCUGUGACUUUCUACAACACAAUAACUUAUUAUCUGUUAUCCGGGCCCAUGAAGCGCAGGAUGCUGGAUAUCGCAUGUACAGAAAGAGUCAGACCACUGGCUUCCCAUCCCUUAUCACGAUCUUCUCUGCACCCAACUACCUAGAUGUCUACAACAACAAAGCGGCGGUGCUGAAGUACGAGAACAACGUAAUGAACAUCCGACAGUUCAACUGCUCACCUCAUCCUUACUGGCUGCCCAACUUCAUGGACGUUUUCACCUGGUCCCUGCCGUUCGUCGGGGAGAAGGUGACGGAGAUGCUGGUGAACGUCCUGAGCAUCUGCUCCAACGACGAGCUGACGACCGACGAGGAGCUGGACGGACAGCUAAUUUAUCCCCCCAAAAAAGGUGCCACAGCUUCUGCCCGCAAGGAGGUCAUCCGCAAUAAGAUUCGUGCCAUUGGAAAGAUGGCCCGGGUAUUUUCUGUGCUCAGAGAGGAGAGUGAGAGCGUGCUGACGCUGAAGGGGCUGACCCCAACAGGCAUGCUACCCAGCGGGGUGUUGUCCGGUGGCAAAGAAAAGCUGCAGAAUGAAACCGCAGGUAUAAUCAAUUGUGCAAGUAUUCUGUUGUGUUUUUUUUUUAAUUUAUUUUUUUAAGAUAAGUUUAGCAUUCAGUCCACCUUCUUAUGUUGAAUUCCAAACACUCCCUAAAUGAGUUUGCCAUGUGGCUGCAGCAAGGAAGUCAAGGCCUUCCGGAAACGCCUUUACAAACACUUCAAAUUUACUUUCCUCUAUUGUCCAAAUUUGAGCGCUAGUGGUGGAUCUCGGCAGCGCUCCGUUGGGAUGUAGACGCGGGACUCUCUGGGAUCCAGAGGAUGAAUUGGAAUUGACACAAGCGACUGUGAACGAAAGGGGGAUCACCGCUGUCUGCCUUUCCUUUACAAAAUGAAGCAGAAAUCCAGACGACUUCCCUCUCCUCUCACGGGUUCUCACACGUCAGCUGUCUCCUUCCUUGAACACACGCAACUGUGUGACCGAAAUAUCACAAUAUAGCGUUUUAAGUGUAGAAAGCGAAAUCUCUCCUUUUUAAUUUCAAAGCAAGCGUAUGUAACGUUUGCUGAACAACGGAUAGAAACAAGUUGCAAUAACGGUACAAUGGUAAAAUCGACAGAAUGUAUACAGUGUUACACAAUUUUUGUACUCAGUUAAAAUGUAAUGUCAUGGAAAGCCAUCAUUAGCCACUAACCCUAUCUUAAUGGAAAGGAAAUUCAGUUUGAUCAAUUCUACACGUAUGAACAUGUGUUUAUUUUUAAUUACAAAUUUCACAGGAAAUAAGCAUUCAGCUGAAGCCUUAACACUAAGUAGAUACAAUAAUGGGGAAUUCUUGGCUUCAAACAGCGGAAUAAGUUCUCGUUGUUUUCCGAACAAAUCGCGUAAAAGAAGACUACGCACCGAACGUAGAUUCCACUUCAAAGUGGGACGAGAAGUGACCAAAUUGGAAGGAGCACUUCUCUCGGGCGGCCCUAAGGAUUGACGCGCGAUCGCGGAAGUUUUCCGAAUGUUUGUAUUGAGGCCCGUCGGGAAGCAGCUGACACGGAGGAGAACCCCAGGGAAGGCAGAGCGAUGUUCACAGAUUCCUGUCGCAACAUCGGUAGAACCACAUUGCUGCGCUCCUCCUUAAGCCAGUGUGCUUCCACUGUGAUGUUGACUCCAUCCGCCAUUCCGUUCACACUUUGUGGCUCUGGUGCCUUCUUGUAAUCUCUUGUAAACCCCCCCCCCCCCCCCACCCCCCCUCAUGGUAGUGUGUCCCGUAGGCUUCAGCACUGUAUAGCCGCUACUUCACCGUCACCGCCGGCCUCAUCCCUGUCUUUGUGUAAAGCCGACUCACUCACGACAGUGUACUGUGUGUAAAGUUAUUAUCUCGACUGUAAGAAAUUCGGUAAGUGGUAAGUGCUGACCCCCCCUCCCCCUCCCUCGCACCUCACAAAAGUAAGCCGGCAUUUUUGAUAUAUUCCCUAUCAAAAGAUGCUCACUCCCGCAGUUCCAGAUGCUGCUUCGUGUCGCGAUUGUACGUUAACUACGACGCCCGCAGCCAUGAAACCCACAGUCACACGUGCACUUAAACUGUACUCUUGUUUCCCAUCCGUCCUAUUUCAACACUCCUUUCUCCAUGUACGGCCUGGUUUUGCGUCAUGGUAAAGAACUAAUCUACUUUCCGGCUUUCACCUGUUGUGUUCGCUGUCGUUGUCCCUGCCGUAAUUCAUUUUUUCUUUCUGUCGCCUCACCGAGUCAUCGUCACUCCGUGCCUCAAAGACACAAUCCUCUCCAACGGGUCACAUGUGUCACCCUCCCUCUUACAGAUGUGGAACUCAUCUUAGAGCUAACCCCCCACCCCUUCGUCUCAUCUCGUCUCCUCUCCACUAACAUCCAUGUGUCCUCUGUCAUUAAACUGUGGCGAUGGCGUUAACCUUUGUCGUCGUCAUUGGCUUGUCUUUGCUGCUCGUUGACUUGUACCUAAGGACAAAAUGAACUCUGCUCACUUCUCUCAUUCGUUUUGCAACCCCCCUCUUCUUCUCUUCAGCUACUAUUGAAGCUAUUGAGGCUGACGAAGCCAUCAAAGGUUUCUCGCCCCAGCACAAGAUCACCAGCUUCGCCGAGGCGAAGGGCCUGGACCGCAUCAACGAGAGGAUGCCGCCGCGGCGGGACACCUUGCCCUCCGACGCCAGCCUC